rnacentral:rRNA from 1 species
AUUGAACGCUGGCGGCAUGCUUUACACAUGCAAGUCGAACGGUAACAGGCCGCAAGGUGCUGACGAGUGGCAAACGGGUGAGUAAUGCAUCGGAACGUGCCCAGUCGUGGGGGAUAACGCAGCGAAAGCUGUGCUAAUACCGCAUACGAUCUAUGGAUGAAAGCGGGGGACCGUAAGGCCUCGCGCGAUUGGAGCGGCCGAUGUCAGAUUAGGUAGUUGGUGGGGUAAAGGCCUACCAAGCCGACGAUCUGUAGCUGGUCUGAGAGGACGACCAGCCACACGGGGACUGAGACGCGGCCCAGACUCCUACGGGAGGCAGCAGUGGGGAAUUUUGGACAAUGGGCGCAAGCCUGAUCCAGCAAUGCCGCGUGCAGGAAGAAGGCCUUCGGGUUGUAAACUGCUUUUGUACGGAACGAAACGGUCUGGGUUAAUACCCUGGGCUAAUGACGGUACCGUAAGAAUAAGCACCGGCUAACUACGUGCCAGCCGCCGCCGUAACAC